AACCUUGUGCAGUGGCAAUAUCGUAAGUAAUGAAGUGUUAACUGAGCUGCGAUUAUUGCUAGUUGAAAACUUUAACCAAUAACUCGCCCAGCUGUGUGUUAGAUCCAUUAGGGUUUUUGCCACAGCUGAGGCAAUUUUUCUAAGGCUCGCAAGGGC
rfam:Drosophila willistoni strain TSC#14030-0811.24 scf2_1100000004521 genomic scaffold, whole genome shotgun sequence.